AUGAUAUGGUUUAUAACUGGUAAAAGCCUGAAUGGUUUGAAAAGUUGGAGCGUUCAUAUGAUGUUUAGUGAUCAUGCACAUUAUCGGAUGGAAAUGCCAUUUUUUUUUGAUGCAGCAAUCCUGUAUCUUACACUCCUCCCCUCCCUUAUAACCCCUCGGCACCACCAUGAUCGCAUCGCUUAUGAUCCGCCGCUACUGGGUCGUCGUUCUCUGCAAACGUGUGCAGUUCUCCGUGCACCAUGCACUGCUGCCGACCGCUGCCUUCACCACCUCCGGUGGAUGCCGUUGUGCUCGGCUCAAAGGAAGUCCACAUACCCCCCGGGGCUGCACAAACCGUCAACUCCACCUCCUGAAGUCUAA
rnacentral:rRNA from 1 species